rnacentral:rRNA from 1 species
ACUCAAAUGAAUUGACGGGGGCCCGCACAAGUGGUGGAGCAUGUGGUUUAAUUCGAAGCAACGCGAAGAACCUUACCAGGUCUUGACAUCCUCUGAUAACCCUAGAGAUAGGGCGUUCCCUUCGGGGACAGAGUGACAGGUGGUGCAUGGUUGUCGUCAGCUCGUGUCGUGAGAUGUUGGGUUAAGUCCCGCAACGAGCGCAACCCUUGAUCUUAGUUGCCAGCAUUUAGUUGGGCACUCUAAGGUGACUGCCGGUGACAAACCGGAGGAAGGUGGGGAUGACGUCAAAUCAUCAUGCCCCUUAUGACCUGGGCUACACACGUGCUACAAUGGAUAGUACAAAGGGUUGCAAGACCGCGAGGUGGAGCUAAUCCCAUAAAACUAUUCUCAGUUCGGAUUGUAGGCUGCAACUCGCCUACAUGAAGCCGGAAUCACUAGUAAUCGCGGAUCAGCAUGCCGCGGUGAAUACGUUCCCGGGCCUUGUACACACCGCCCGU